AUUGAACGCUGGCGGCAUGCCUUACACAUGCAAGUCGAACGGUAACAGGUCUUCGGAUGCUGACGAGUGGCGAACGGGUGAGUAAUACAUCGGAACGUGCCCGAUCGUGGGGGAUAACGGAGCGAAAGCUUUGCUAAUACCGCAUACGAUCUACGGAUGAAAGCGGGGGAUCGCAAGACCUCGCGCGAGUGGAGCGGCCGAUGUCAGAUUAGGUAGUUGGUGGGGUAAAGGCUCACCAAGCCAACGAUCUGUAGCUGGUCUGAGAGGACGACCAGCCACACUGGAACUGAGACACGGUCCAGACUCCUACGGGAGGCAGCAGUGGGGAAUUUUGGACAAUGGGCGCAAGCCUGAUCCAGCCAUUCCGCGUGCAGGAUGAAGGCCUUCGGGUUGUAAACUGCUUUUGUACGGAACGAAACGGCGAGCUCUAAUACAGUUUGCUAAUGACGGUACCGUAAGAAUAAGCACCGGCUAACUACGUGCCAGCACG
rnacentral:rRNA from 1 species